GCAGGCAAAUCUAUAGGGUAAUCCUGUUCACCUGUGCUCAGAUUGAAUUCUAUUCAGAGAAAGAACUUCAGCUGAAAGCUUCUCCAAAGACACCACUGGUUAUCAACCUACUUAUGUCCUAGGAAUGUUGCACUGCUGUUAAGGUCCAUCUAAAAAGAAAGGAGGAAUAAACAAAUGUGACUGAGCUGAGUUAUUCCUGUGUCUCUUUGGAGGAAGCAAGCCUUUUCAAGUUUGGGAAAAUGCUGAAGUGACUUCAGAUGGAGAAAAAACAUGACAGUUGAUAACCGAGGUUCCAGUGAAGAACUGAGUGACCUGGUGAGCGGAAGAGGACAAUCAAGGAGGACAUCACGCAUCAGCAUUAAGGUUCACAAUGGCUGAAGAAAUGUUUGGAAAGUCACUAAAACAAUUAAAGUUGGAGCGAACCAUGGCUAAAUCUUCCUUCACCAAGCAAGCCAACUUCCUGAGCAAAAGAGCUCCCAAUAUGACAGAGAUGGAACUGCGGGAGGAGUUCAAAAAGCUCACCUCUGAUGCUAGACAUCCUUCCUGCUUUAAUUAAUCGCCAUCCUGGAGAGAAGAAAAAGGGGACUCGAUAUGACCAAAGCAGCUGUUCUGUUCUUCCACAACCAUAUCCGGUGUCACAAGCGUGAGCAGUCAAAACAUCAGACACUACAGCUGUUGUCUAAUUAGAGUCCGGCUGAUCCAGAUUUGAAUGACCAUGCAGAGUAUAAAACAUUAAAAUGUCAAGGCAAACUUGCUUUUAUGGGACCGCAGUGCUCAGAAACAGAGGAUGCACACUGGACGACUCACUUUUAAUUAUUUCACAGCUCCAGACAGAAAAAAGAUUCAGUUACUUUGGCCUUCAAAG